CUUAUUGGCUGGAAAGGAAGAAGCAUUCUUUCAUUGGUUGGUGUGUAUUGCCUUGUCAACCAAUAAGAGGAUGCCAUUUAUCCUUUUCUGACUAGCUGAGUGAGCAGGGUG